rnacentral:rRNA from 1 species
AGCAGAGCACUCCUACGGGAGGCAGCAGUGGGGAAUAUUGCACAAUGGGCGCAAGCCUGAUGCAGCCAUGCCGCGUGUAUGAAGAAGGCCUUCGGGUUGUAAAGUACUUUCAGCAGUGAGGAAGGCGGGUACGUUAAUAGCGUGCUCGUUUGACGUUAGCUGCAGAAGAAGCACCGGCUAACUCCGUGCCAGCAGCCGCGGUAAUACGGGGGUGCAAGCGUUAAUCGGAGUUAUUGGGCGUAAAGGGUGCGUAGGUUGUUAUUUAAGUCAUGUGGGAAAUACCUGGGCUCAACCUGGGAAUGACGGAUGAUACUGAAUGACUAGAGUAUAGUAGAGGGUAGUGGAAUUUCCGGUGUAGCGGUGAAAUGCGUAGAGAUCGGAAGGAACACCAGUGGCGAAGGCGGCUACCUGGACUAAUACUGACACUGAGGCACGAAAGCGUGGGUAGCAAACAGGAUUAGAUACCCUGGUAG